rnacentral:rRNA from 1 species
GUAGGGAAUAUUGGGCAAUGGUCGGAAGACUGACCCAGCCAUGCCGCGUGCAGGAAGACGGCCCUCUGGGUUGUAAACUGCUUUUAUCUGGGAAGAAAAAGGCCAUGUGUGGCAAAUUGCCGGUACCAGAUGAAUAAGCACCGGCUAACUCCGUGCCAGCAGCCGCGGUAAUACGGAGGGUGCGAGCGUUGUCCGGAUUUAUUGGGUUUAAAGGGUGCGUAGGCGGCUGAUUAAGUCAGCGGUGAAAGACUUCGGCUUAACCGGAGCAGUGCCGUUGAUACUGGUUGGCUUGAGUGUCGGAGGGGUACAUGGAAUUGAUGGUGUAGCGGUGAAAUGCAUAGAUACCAUCAGGAACACCGAUAGCGAAGGCAUUGUACUGGCCGACAACUGACGCUGAUGCACGAAAGUGUGGGGAUCGAACAGGAUUAGAUACCCUGGUAGUCC